rnacentral:rRNA from 1 species
CUACGGAGGGGGUUAGCGUUGUUCGGAAUUACUGGGCGUAAAGCGUACGUAGGCGGACUGGAAAGUUGGGGGUGAAAUCCCGGGGCUCAACCCCGGAACUGCCUCCAAAACUGCCAAUCUAGAGAUCGAGAGAGGUGAGUGGAAUUCCAAGUGUAGAGGUGAAAUUCGUAGAUAUUUGGAGGAACACCAGUGGCGAAGGCGGCUCACUGGCUCGAUACUGACGCUGAGGUACGAAAGCGUGGGGAGCAAACAGGAUUAGAAACCCUAGUAGUCC